rnacentral:lncRNA from 1 species
GCCGCGGCGUGCAUAGCCUGCCACGGCGUUCGCGCGAUCACACGCUGUGUCGAUAGAAAGCCUUCGCGUUCGGUACACGAACUUACGAAAACUUGUGUCUGUGCAAUGGAUAUUGUUAGUUUGGACCCGACUGGACUUUAUUAAGAAACACCAAAGAUGGACGUCCUAACACUGGACCCAACCGGUCAGUAUUGAUGAUGUCUCACAAGAGCUUGGACCCGACCGGCGUUUACUAAAAAUCACAAGCGUUUAUUGAUCUUUCUUAUUAGAAUCUUACAAGAAAAAAUGGAGGUCAAGGUACUGGAUCCUACCGGUCAGUACUAGGGACGCAGGAUGACAGGGCUAGAUCCCACUGAAGUCUACUAAACUUUCCACCUUCUAUGAGCCAAGAUGUGUUGCGGGAACCGUCGUAUCUCCACAGGAACCUGGCCAGAAGAAACAUCUUCUUGCAGGAAGAGAAGGUUCAACUUCAAACUUAACCUGGAUUGUUAACAAAAAUAAAGCGAUUGUACAUAGUGAAUGAAGAAAAUGUCUGGAGGCGUUGGCAAGGUCAGAUGGAAAUCAGCUGAUUUGCGCGCGCGUUUCGGAAAAUUUCAAGAAUAUUGGAAAAAAAGUUCAGAAAAAUCCUACAUGGAACGCGUUGCGCGGCAGAAAAUCCUUGUGCAAAUGAUGUAAUUGCAAAUCUUUGGCUCCGCACAUCGAGCUUUCCAAGUUUCAACGUCUUAACUUCGUGAACCCCAUUUUUACGUCCAAUACUCACUAGAUAAUAAGUAAUUAUUUGACUGAAUAAAUAUUUUGUCUCGAGAACUUACAUAUCUCUAAUGCAUUUGUAUUUUAAUUGUAUUUAAAAAGAGUUAAAUAAUUUAAUUAUUAAGUUGAUGCGGCUUUGUUGGCAAUAUUAAAAAUAGAUUGUUCGUAGUUUUAAGAAAUUAAUACAUUUUUUAUCAAUUAAAAAUAAGAUUAUAGAUUAGCUAAAUUAAUAACUAUAAAAAAGAUUACGCAAUCUUAUUUGUGCCAAUAAAGUGGCAUCGAAAAUAGAUGUAAGAAAAAUUUAAAGACAAGCAUAAAGAGGCAAAUGGGUUUUUUGAAUGGUUAUCUUCUUUCGACUGUACAUUUGAUGAGGAACCUUCAAAAUUUACCGUAUUUAUAAAUGAUUUUAUUAUCUUAUAUUAUUGUAUAGGUUUAAAGUGUAUUUUUGUGUUUAUUUCCUUUUGUUUUUAAUUUUCCGCAUAAUUCGAGUUACCAAUUUGACUUUGCUUGGAGAAAAUGUAAAUAAAAUAAUCAUCUUUCGCUAUUGCUAUGCUUUUGUUUUAUUUUCUUUUUUUAACGAUUUUCGAUAAAAAAAUCUGAGAAUAAAGGUCAUAGCUCAUUCGAGCCACACUACUUCAGCUGACAGUCAUUGACAAGCGGGACGAUCUAUGGUUGGUGCACUAUAGCUUGGUGCGGAUGACAGUUGCCGUAUAUGACGUUCUACGUACUAUUAUUGUGAAUCGCGGCAAACUUUCAAGAAUAAAAAGAACUGUCACCCACUUUGUUUCGGUAAUACUAUAAGUUAGUGUAGAGAGCGACCAUAGAAUUUCAAAUAAAAAGACUAGUUACAACACAAAACGAGUCAGCGAGGAAGCGAGGCUUUAAUGAGCUAUGAUCUCAAGAGUAAAUAUAAUUUUACAUGGCUUUUACCUCCUUGGGAGUUUUAGAAAUUUAGAUUCUUAUAGAAAUAAUUGAUUUGUUUAAUAAAAAUAAUCAUAUAAAUCAAAAAAUAAAAUAAAUGAUAAAGAUACGAAUACUCUUAGCGCCAUCUGUUAUAGAAUAUCAAAGUUACUGAUCUCUGUAAAUUGACAGUUGACUUGAAUUUUGAAUUGAGGAUAAAAAAAAAACUAUAUUAAAUUCCGACAGGAAGAUACUCAAACCUUCGAUACUCGACUAUUUUGUAUUCAUAGGUACGCAUAGAAAUUCCGAAAAAUGAAAAAAAAACGUCUAAAAUGAAAAAAAAAUUAAAUAAAAUUACAUACUAAAAAGUACGUAAUAUACGAUUAAAGAUGUAUUUUCGAUUAAAGAUGGCAUUGUUUUAAUAUAAUCGUAAAUUACCUACUCUAUGAAUUGAAUAAAUUGUGAAAACUUUUCUGAAAAGCAUAGGUACUUUUAGUAUAAAAUAUAAAAUAAUAUCUACGAAAUUCAGUAUACAGUUGUAUAACGAAUUUUAUAGAUAACUUGAGUAUUGAUAUUUAAAACUGAAUGAAACGAAAAUGAAAAAGUUUAGUCGUUUUUAAAACUCAAGGAGGUCCGUCGCCAUUUAUUUAUUUAAAUAAAUCCGGGAGAAAUACUUGUAGUUCCCCUUAAUGUAAAGAAAUUAUAUGUUUUGUAAUUAUCUAAUGGUAUAGAUUAAAAGAUUAAAUAAAGAUGUUUAUACCUUU